rnacentral:rRNA from 1 species
AAGGAAUAUUGGGCAAUGGACGCAAGUCUGACCCAGCCAUGCCGCGUGCAGGAAGACGGCCUUAUGGGUUGUAAACUGCUUUUGUCAGGGAAUAAACCCUUGUUUGCGAACAAGGCUGAAGGUACCUGAAGAAUAAGCAUCGGCUAACUCCGUGCCAGCAGCCGCGGUAAUACGGAGGAUGCAAGCGUUAUCCGGAUUCAUUGGGUUUAAAGGGUGCGCAGGCGGACUAUUAAGUCAGAGGUGAAAUGCUACGGCUCAACCGUGGAACUGCCUUUGAUACUGCUAGUCUUGAGUUUAAUUGAAGUGGGCGGAAUGUAGCAUGUAGCGGUGAAAUGCAUAGAGAUGCUACAGAACACCGAUAGCGAAGGCAGCUCACUAAGUUACAACUGACGCUCAUGCACGAAAGCGUGGGGAUCAAAC